UGGGGAAUAUUGCACAAUGGAGGAAACUCUGAUGCAGCGACGCCGCGUGAGGGAAGAAGGUCUUCGGAUUGUAAACCUCUGUCUUCGGGGACGAUAAUGACGGUACCCGAGGAGGAAGCCACGGCUAACUACGUGCCAGCAGCCGCGGUAAAACGUAGGUGGCAAGCGUUGUCCGGAAUUACUGGGUGUAAAGGGAGCGCAGGCGGGAUCGUAAGUUGGGAGUGAAAUUCAUGGGCUCAACCCAUGACCUGCUUUCAAAACUGCGAUUCUUGAGUGGUGUAGAGGUAGGCGGAAUUCCCGGUGUAGCGGUGGAAUGCGUAGAUAUCGGGAGGAACACCAGUGGCGAAGGCGGCCUACUGGGCACUAACUGACGCUGAGGCUCGAAAGCAUGGGUAGCAAACAGGAUUAGAUACCC
rnacentral:rRNA from 1 species